GGAAGCGGAAGUGUCUGUGACCCGCUAGUAGGAAGUGGCGCUUCCGGGAGUGGAGAUGGCUGCGCUGGCCCCGCUGCCGCCGCUGCCCGCGCAGUUUAAGAGCAUACAGCACCAUUUGAGAACGGCGCAGGAGCAUGACAAGCGAGAUCCUGUGGUGGCCUACUACUGUCGUUUAUAUGCUAUGCAAACUGGAAUGAAGAUUGAUAGUAAAACUCCUGAAUGUCGUAAAUUUUUAUCAAAGCUAAUGGAUCAGUUAGAAGCUCUUAAGAAACAGUUGGGGGAUAAUGAAGCUGUUACUCAAGAAAUCGUUGGUUGUGCCCAUUUGGAAAAUUAUGCUUUGAAAAUGUUCCUGUACGCGGACAACGAAGACCGAGCUGGACGAUUUCACAAAAACAUGAUCAAGUCCUUCUACACUGCCAGCCUUUUAAUAGAUGUCAUCACAGUGUUUGGCGAGCUCACAGAUGAAAAUGUGAAACAUAGAAAGUACGCAAGGUGGAAGGCAACAUAUAUUCAUAACUGCUUAAAGAAUGGGGAGACUCCUCAAGCAGGCCCUGUUGGAAUAGAGGAAGAUAACGAUGUUGAGGAAAAUGAAGAUGUUGGUGCAACCUCUCUGCCCACUCAGCCACCUCAGCCAUCAUCAUCCUCAACGUACGACCCAAGCAACUUGGCAGCAGGCAGCUACAGUGGGAUACAGAUCCCUCCGGGUGCACAUGCUCCAGCCAAUACCCCUGCAGAAGUGCCGCACAGCACAGGUGUAACAAGUAAUGCUGUCCAGCCUAGUCCACAGACUGUCCCAGCCAUUCCCGCCAUUGAUCCUGACCUGUACACAGCUUCCCAGGGUGAGUCAGCUGGCUGGCCGUAGGCUGCAUUGUGUCUUUCCUUAUUUGGGGUGGUGUUUUAACUGUUCCUUGAGUAAACCAUAUGAAUUUGAGUAUCUAGGUCAUUGAAAACAAGCUUUUUUUCACUGUGUCUGCUAGAUUGUCGUGGGAACCAGGAUUAUAUAAGUUGGUUCCAGAAAUCCAAAUCAUUUUCUUUCUUUCUCUCUUUCUUUCUUUCUUUCUUUCUUUCUUUCUUUCUUUCUUUCUUUUUUUCUUUCUUUCAUUUGUUCUAUCUAUCUAUCUAUCUAUCUAUCUAUCUAUCUAUCUAUCCCUCCUGUCUUUCCUUUACUGUUCUCUCUUUUCUUUUUGUUUGUUCUGUACUGGAUAUAAUGAUACCAAUAUCUAGCCACAGUAGCGGAAACUUAUGGCUACUUUGCUUCAUCUCAAAAUCACUAUAUUGUUGUUGUCUUUAUUCUUUUCUACACCAAACUAUUACAUUAUCCAAAAAGAAAGAGCUAACCAUGAUGCAAAUCAUCAUCACCGAAUGCGAUUAUAUAUUUGCUUGGUUCAUAUUUUAGGUGACUGGCAUGUUGAUGAAAUCUUUUACCUUUUAAUUUCUUUCUAUUUUUCUGCCUCUAGUUGGAUUUGAAAUGUAUCUUAACGUUUUAUUCAGAGUUUAAAUCUUCUUAUGGCUCAUGUAAAACCAAAGAAUGGAAUGUGCAUAAACAUUACCAAUGUAACCAAUGUAACAGAAUAGAUAUCAGGAAAAUUAAUUUAGAUCUAUGUAUCUUCAAUUAACCUAUUCAACAAAGGAGCCAAAACACAUUGGAGAAAGAUACCUCUUAGGUAGUAAGUGCUGGGGUAAGUGGAUAUCUUACAGAAGGUUAAUGUCAUCCCUUCCUAAUCCCUGUGAGAUUGUUUAAAGACAAGACUUAACACUUGGAAAUUCCUAGAGGAAAACAUAGAGGAAGAACUAAUAAACGCUGAUGGACCAGGGACUUUGUAUGUAUUUGGCUCCUAAAGGACUGGAAAUGAAAGCCGAAGUUGACAAAUGGCAUUAACCCAAAGGUAAAACAGUCAUCUGUGAAGAGACAGCCCUUAAAGUGGGAAACAAAUUUCCUAAUUAGUCAACUGUUAAAUUAAGUAAAAAUAAAACAGGGAUGAAGUUAUUGAAACAGAAAAAAAUAAUUCAAAAAAUGUUAUUCAAAAUAACCAUAUCCCUAAAUAUAGAAAGGGAGUCCUACCCCGUGAUGUUUGUCCCAAGAGGGGAGAAGCUGUCCACACGAAGCACUGCACCCACUUGCUGACGCCGUCCUUACUCAGAAACUGAGAAGCAGUGGGGCCCUCCACACUCAUAAACACGACGUCACAUGCCCAGCGAUGCCGCAUCCUCCCAUGCGAAGUGCACGUGAGCUUCCCAGCCUUUGAAAAGAAGGGAAAGAAAAGGGUAUCAGUGCGUGGAAACCCAGCCCUGUCUAAUUAGUCACACGGGUCACUAAUCUAAGCAAUCUACACCAGUGUGUUUAUGUGACCCCACAUUGUCAGGAGCUCGGAUGGGUUUUUGUAAGGACAAAGACAGAAGUUUCAGUGUAUGAGUGGAGAGCCAAAGCUAGAAUACCUCCACACCCCUGUGGGGAAACUGUCACUGCACUCACUUCCUGACGAGCUUCUUAGUCAAUACAGCACUUGCUUCAUGGCCUGAAGAACCAAAACAACAAAUGCAAGAAGGGCUGCACACUGUGUGACCCCAACUGUGACAAGAAGAAGCCAGAAGGUGAGGCAGGGAAAAGAUCAGUAUUCAUCAGUUGUGGUGAGAAAACAGGAUGAAGGGGAGAGAACAAGAACUUCUCUGCUGUAAGAAGUAUUCUAUUAGGAACAGAAAGGUUGUAUAAAUUAGUCCAAGUUCAUUGAAUUCAUGAAACCUAAAGGGAACACACAGUGGCCUCGAGGGGUUCACAGUGUGUCAGUGAAGGCUCAUCAGUUGAAUCACUGGUGGUGCCAGAAACAGAAGGGCUUUGCUUGUGUACAGGAGGUUAUGAGAAACUCUGUCUGUCUCUCAGUUUAGCUGUGAACCUAGAACUACUCUAGAUUAUCUAUUGUCAGAAAAAUAAUACAGAGUUCUGUGUUGACUCCUGCUAUCCCCGCCACCUGCAUUCCCUGUGCCUGUGCCCUACCCCUUUUCUCUUAGUACCAAGUUUCAGAAGUAUACCUGUUGUGCUAAUGUGUAAAUACAUUCAUAUUAAUGUAUCGUAGGUAAUUAUGCCUGACUCCAGAGAGGAAAAUGCAAAGCCAAAAAGUUUCAGAAUCUGCUAUGGUUUUUUUGCCUCAUAUAUUCUAAUAUAAAUUAAAACUAAUUUUCAUUUUUUUAAGUCUUAAAUGUCACAAUAUCUGGAAAAUAUUGAAUAUUAUCAUUAUAUUCAAUUACAAAAUAUUGAAAUAAUGGAACUACCUGUAUCCAUGACUUCUCUUUCCAUAAUUGGAAUCUUGUAACAAUGCCUUUUUAUAAGAAUUCAGAACUGUGGUUUUCUGUUUUCUCUGCCUGUGUCUUGAGAGGCAUAUUCACAUCAGUAAUGGAGUAUAUGCUGGUGAGAUUAGACAGAGCCCUUGACAUACUAUUUGUAAACCUAGCUACAUAAAGUGCAGAGUUCAUCUUGGAGACAUCUCUGGGGAAUUGCCGACAACAGAGGCAGCUUCCACACUCCGUUUGCUGAGCCACCUCGCACAAAUCCAUUCUAAAGAUGUAUCCGUGUAUCAGUGCUUGCUUUGGUGAUAAUGGUGAGGAUUUAGUGUGAGCCUUCCUACAGUUGCUACCUCUUCCUACGUAACGUCAUACUUUGCUGUUUCCAUCAAUGGCAGAAAAACAAAACAAAACACUAACGGCCAUUUAAAACUAGUAUGUGUGUCAGUACAGCCUUUAAAACACCUAAACUAAGCCGCCUGCUCAUCUCUGUGCUUCUGUGUGUGUGUGUGUCAGGAAGUGUGCCUUACCAUCGUCAGAAUCUUGACACGAUAAAGGAAUGAGUGAGUGAGUAAUUGAAUGAAUGAUCCUCUGUGUCUUUUCCAAAAACAAUACACUAUGUCUGCUUUUUCUCUUACCGUAGAAGUACAUAUAUACAAGGACAUGCUCGUAUCCUAGGUUAAAUGAAUAAUGUAGACUUUUACAUAUUACUCAUCUAUAAAUAGAAAACUGCUGGAAAUAAAUUUUGGAAAAUUUUCUGUAAUGAUCGUUUUCAUGUUCAGUCAGAUGUUUUAAUGAUAAGAAUUCGGAGGUGGCCUUAAGUGUCUUUUUCCAGUUACGAAGCAAAAUGUAGAAUAUUUUAAUGCUUAAAAAAGGAACCAUGUUCUGCAUGGAUGUUAUCCCCCCCCCUACACACACACACACACACACACACACACACACACACACUUUUAUUGGAGGAUAUAUUUAUGUUCUAGCUCUAAUGAGGGCUGCAGGGUUUAGUCUGUCUGUGGUGUUCCAUGGAGAGCCUCAGCGUGAAUUCCAAGCCGCUGUUCUUGUCUCACACAGCCAGAUGUUCUCAUUUUAUUUCCCUUCACAGUUAAUUUACUAAAACACAGACUUCUGGUUUAUUACUUAUUGAUAGAAAAGUAUGCAUGUGAGUUAUCUUUAUUAGCAUGUGUCUAGUUUUUAUUAGUAGCAAAACGAUGAUUGGUCUUUUUACAUUAGUAUAAAUAUGUUGCUGCAUCUUGAGCUGAACUAGGAACAGCAGGACACGCCGUGAUCUGGGUUGUGUCUGAUGUGCUUCUUCUAGGGGAUGUCCGCCUGACCCCAGAGGACUUUGCUCGGGCUCAGAAGUACUGCAAGUACGCUGGCAGUGCCCUGCAGUAUGAAGACGUGAGCACCGCGGUGCAGAACCUGCAGAAGGCCCUCAGGCUGCUGACAACGGGCAGGGAAUGAAGCUCUGCUCACGGACCCCAUGCGUUUUCUGCAUAGAGAACUAACAUUCAGUACACUUUCCUCAGCCUUUCAGGAGCAUGGUUUUACAGAAGACCUCAGUUCCCCGAGUAAGACAGUGGCUCCUGUUGUCGUCAGCUGCCUCAGCCAGUUGUCAUUGAGCGUGUAGAGCUGAUGUUAGCAUCAAACCCCGCUAUGGAAUGUCCCUGUAGAAAAUCCUGGUGGGUAUAGUAUGCUUUCUUAAUGUAUACACACUAAAGGACGUUUUUGAAAAGUCGGUAAUAUUUGGACAAACCAUAUUAUGUUGCUUUAAUAUUCUAAAUUAAACUUUUAAUAAAGAUUACCAGAAUGUUCUA